rnacentral:rRNA from 1 species
CCUACGGGUGACAGCAGUGAGGAAUAUUGGUCAAUGGGCGUGAGCCUGAACCAGCCAAGUAGCGUGAAGGAUGACUGCCCUACGGGUUGUAAACUUCUUUUAUAAAGGAAUAAAGUGAGGCACGUGUGCCUUUUUGUAUGUACUUUAUGAAUAAGGAUCGGCUAACUCCGUGCCAGCAGCCGCGGUAAUACGGAGGAUCCGAGCGUUAUCCGGAUUUAUUGGGUUUAAAGGGAGCGUAGAUGGGUUGUUAAGUCAGUUGUGAAAGUUUGCGGCUCAACCGUAAAAUUGCAAUUGAUACUGGCAGCCUUGAGUACAGUUGAGGUAGGCGGAAUGCGUGGUGUAGCGGUGAAAUGCAUAGAUAUCACGCAGAACUCCGAUUGCGAAGGCAGCUUACUAAACUAUAACUGACACUGAAGCACGAAAGCGUGGGGAUCAAACAGGAUUAGAUACCCUGGUAGUC